UACGAAGGGGGCUAGCGUUGCUCGGAAUCACUGGGCGUAAAGCGCACGUAGGCGGCUUUUUAAGUCAGGGGUGAAAGCCCGGGGCUCAACUCCGGAAUUGCCUUUAAGACUGCAUCGCUAGAAUUGUGGAGAGGUAAGUGGAAUUCCGAGUGUAGAGGUGAAAUUCGUAGAUAUUCGGAAGAACACCAGUGGCGAAGGCGACUUACUGGACACAUAUUGACGCUGAGGUGCGAAAGCGUGGGGAGCAAACAGG
rnacentral:rRNA from 1 species